rnacentral:ncRNA from 1 species
UGUAUCCUUCGGGGCUGGGUGAAAAUCCCGACCGGCGGUAAUAAGGCGCUCCUGCGCUUUACAGCCCGUGACCCGUAUGCAUCUGUAUACGGUGGAUUCAGUGAAAAGCUGAAGCCGACAGUGAAAGUCUGGAUGGGAGAAGGAUGAG